GGCAGGACGAUAGUGUUGCGAUUUCAAAGACAUGAGGUUAUCCAAGACCGGAAAGGCACCAUGCCCAGUCGAAGGAGUAUGAAUAGUGGAUGUGACAGGAGAUCCGGCGUCGUCUUUCGAAGCCAAAAGACUUUUGGCCGAUUGAGUAAGACCGUUGCCGCCCAUGACUUUGAGUCGCUAGCGGAGAUUUGAGUUGUGCAGGCAAGCUCAAAGGGAGCGUGGCGGGAGCUUGUAUAUCAUGUUGGGUAGCAUUUCCGGACGCGGGGGUCAAGAAAGAUGCAGGGACUCGCGAUGGAGAAUAUAUAGUUGAACCCACUGAUCGAUUCUC
rnacentral:sRNA from 1 species